rnacentral:tRNA from 1 species
UCCCUGGUGAUCCAGUGGGUAAGACUCCAUGCUUUCACUGUGGGAGCAUGGGUUUGAUCCCUGUUCAGGGAA